rnacentral:rRNA from 1 species
ACUGGCGGCAGCCUAACCAUGCAAGUCGAGCGGAUGAAGGGAGCUUGCUCCCUGAUUCAGCGGCGGACGGGUGAGUAAUGCCUAGGAAUCUGCCUGGUAGUGGGGGACAACGUCUCGAAAGGGACGCUAAUACCGCAUACGUCCUACGGGAGAAAGCAGGGGACCUUCGGGCCUUGCGCUAUCAGAUGAGCCUAGGUCGGAUUAGCUAGUUGGUGAGGUAAUGGCUCACCAAGGCGACGAUCCGUAACUGGUCUGAGAGGAUGAUCAGUCACACUGGAACUGAGACACGGUCCAGACUCCUACGGGAGGCAGCAGUGGGGAAUAUUGGACAAUGGGCGAAAGCCUGAUCCAGCCAUGCCGCGUGUGUGAAGAAGGUCUUCGGAUUGUAAAGCACUCUAAGUUGGGAGGAAGGGCAGCUAACUAAUACUUCGCUGUUUUGACGUUACCGACAGAAUAAGCACCGGCUAACUCUGUGCCAGCAGCCGCGGUAAU